rnacentral:rRNA from 1 species
CAGCCGCCGCGGUAAGACAGAGGAUGCAAGCGUUAUCCGGAAUGAUUGGGCGUAAAGCGUGCGUAGGCGGCUUUUUAAGUCGGAUGUGAAAUCCCUGAGCUUAACUUAGGAAUUGCAUUCGAUACUGGGAAGCUAGAGUAUGGGAGAGGAUGGUAGAAUUCCAGGUGUAGCGGUGAAAUGCGUAGAGAUCUGGAGGAAUACCGAUGGCGAAGGCAGCCAUCUGGCCUAAUACUGACGCUGAGGUACGAAAGCAUGGGGAGCAAACAGGAUUAGAUACCCGGGUAGUCCCUGUCUCUUAUAA